CUGGCCGGUCACGUGGGGCCGGUACAAAAGGCCAAAGCCAAAGUGGGAGGAGGACUGGAGGGGUUGGAGGCCUGCGGCCGGGGGCUCCAGCUCGCCCUUGUUGCGAGGUUCGGCCGGGCGGAUACCCGGGCGAAGAAGCUGCUGUCUCCCCAUUACACAGCUGGGGAAGCUGAGGGCAGCGCCCGGGUGGGGAGGCUUCAGUGCGGCGCGGAAAUCCGCCCUUUGCAGGAAAAAGAGCAGGUGCGAUGAGAGGGGAGAAGGACAGAAAGUUGGACACCUCAUGGGGCCCUCUCGUCAGAAUGACCUCAUUCCCACUCCGAGAGACUUGUUGGACUUUUUGUUGAGCCAUUUUUGUGAAGAACCACGUAGGCUCGGUGCUGAGACUCGCACAAGGUCACACAGCUGUUGGGUGGCACACAUCUGAGUUUGGAGCCUCGAAGUGUCUCAUUCCGUCGCCUGUCUUCUGCUGCUGCCCUUCGCAGAGUUGCUCUUGUCAGAAUUUAUGGCUGAACUGCGAACGGGCACCUUUCAUGGCCUGUCUGUCCAAUACUGGCUGCAUGGA